UACGGAGGGAGCAAGCGUUACUCGGAAUUAUUGGGCGUAAAGGGCGCGUAGGCGAUCCGACAAGUCUGGUGUGAAAGCCCACAUGUUAACUGUGGAAGUGCAUUAGAAACUGUUGGAUUUGAGUUCAGGAGAGGAAAGCAGAAUUCCCGGUGUAGCGGUGAAAUGCGUAGAGAUCGGGAGGAACACCGGUGGCGAAGGCGGCAUCCUGGACCGGCAUUGACGCUGAGGCGCGAAAGCCAGGGGAGCAAACGGG
rnacentral:rRNA from 1 species